UGUAGUUUAAUACUUAAAUGGAUUAAGCCCUAUUGCUACUAAACUUGGCAAACGAGUUUAAUUGAUAGUUUAAAGCUGAGGGUUUUCAUAACUAGUUUUAAACGCUGUUAUCAGGAAGGCAGAAAUCUAACAAAAGUGUUUGCGUACAUGAUGAACCGAGAUAUGAUUAUUCAGGUUCAAGGUGAGAGGCCAAUAUGCUGGUAGGCUGUUUCUGUAGUUAUAUACGGUAUGCUCUCCAUAGGCCUGGAAUCAUGUUAUUAUCUUUUAGAUUAUAGAAUUAUGUAUUCAAUAAAAUCAAAAUAAGAUCAAAGUCAAUUUCGCUCCUGGAACUUACAGUUUAAAUGAUAGUUACACCAUGGAAUAUUUACUAAUUUAGGUAUUCACAAUUUCUGUCCACGGUCAAACAGUGGCGGCGAUAAGGGGCUACAGCCCUCCCCCACCCCCUCCUGGUCAGGUAGAAAAACCACAAUUCGUCGGGGAGAAAAAUAUUAUAUGUAUUUUCUAUAUUAUUAAUAGACUAAAAUCAAUUAAAUAAGCCUUUGAAACCCCUAAAUUGUCAUUAUUGGGGGAUUCGCCACUGACCACUUUUCUAAAAGAUUUUGAGGCACGACCUACCACGCCCACUUUGUUCUCGUCGGGGACAUCUACACCCGCACCCCUCUCCCCCGGUGGGGACCUUUGACACUUGGGCAAAUCCUGGCGCCGCCCCUGCGGUCAAACGCAUAAUCCACGACUACAAUAUGAUUUUAGGUCUGUAACCUUGCAGCGACAGUAUGCAUAAAUAUACUGGUAACAUAGGCCUACAAUUAUGAUGCCAGUGAUAAACAGUAGUGUUUUGUCACAAGCAUAUCAGGCUGGGUCAGUGUCCAUUUGCUCUGAAGUUUGCAAUACAGAAGAACAGAGACGGUAAUAGUCAGAAGUUGGCAUUAUGGAAGUACUAAGCGAGUGUUUUACAAACAUCAACAGAAGGAAGAAAGUAGAUAAUAGUGAACCAUCAGAAACCUU
rnacentral:misc_RNA from 1 species